rnacentral:rRNA from 1 species
UCUUUAAGGGUCCUGAAGGAACGUUGAAGACGACGACGUUGAUAGGCCGGGUGUGUAAGCGCAGCGAUGCGUUGAGCUAACCGGUACUAAUGAACCGUGAGGCUUAACCUUACAACGCCGAAGCUGUU